AGCGAACGCUGGCGGCAGGCCUAACACAUGCAAGUCGAACGGAUCCUUCGGGAUUAGUGGCGGACGGGAGAGUAACACGUGGGAACGUGCCUUUAGGUUCGGAAUAGCUCCUGGAAACGGGUGGUAAUGCCGAAUGUGCCCUUCGGGGGAAAGAUUUAUCGCCUUUAGAGCGGCCCGCGUCUGAUUAGCUAGUUGGUGAGGUAAUGGCUCACCAAGGCGACGAUCAGUAGCUGGUCUGAGAGGAUGACCAGCCACACUGGGACUGAGACACGGCCCAGACUCCUACGGGAGGCAGCAGUGGGGAAUCUUGCGCAAUGGGCGAAAGCCUGACGCAGCCAUGCCGCGUGAAUGAUGAAGGUCUUAGGAUUGUAAAAUUCUUUCACCGGGGACGAUAAUGACGGUACCCGGAGAAGAAGCCCCGGCUAACUUCGUGCCAGCCGCCGCAGUAA
rnacentral:rRNA from 1 species